GCUAAUCCCCGCUCAAAAAGUUUCUAGAAGUCUCCAGAUGACAUAAUAUGCACAACUGCAUAGUCACUGUAUUGUUGAUAUAGAUCUAUCAACGCCAUAUCAUUGAUCAUUCGUAUAUCAAUCGUGUUACAUGGACACAUGGAGAAAGACUAUUUUCUGAAGACAGAAUAAAAUGAAUUCAAAUAAAAUAGAAUUAACAGAACAAUAGUUUAUAAUUUAUAUAUUUUCUAAGAAGUCGUCUUUAGUCACAGCACCACAUUUUACAUCUGUUUGCAUAUUUACAAUAUACUAUCAUUUCUAUAAAGAACACAUCAAAAACAGUUGGGAAAUAGACACAAAGGAAACAGUUACAGGUGUUUUGUUUUAUUACAUUUUUACUUUACUUGUAAAUAUAACCAAGAAGACAAUUUAAAGUGACAAUUUAAAGUGCAGGGACGUUGCAAAAACAGCACCAAUACACUAAAUUCUGCUGACUUUUGGAGUAUUAAUUUGCUUAUAUUUUCUUUAAUCAUACGAUGUAACAAAUGUUAAUGUAAGUAUAUGCUGGUCGCAUAAAAAAAACUUAAGUGUGAAAGGGUUAAUACUUUGACAUUUUUACCAUAUCUGGGUAAUUUGAUUGUAAAUUAAGGUUCAGGUUAUAAAAGAUUUAUUUGAGGGGUGGAGAAAUGAAAUUCUGCAGUGAAAUGUAGAACAUUCAAAUGAGUUUUAUAUCAAUGGGAAUAUACUUCAAAUAUAUUUAUCUCAUAUGAAUUCAUAGGGAUGCCAAUAAUUGUGGAACACAUGUAUUUAACAAAGUUGUUUGUUUGUUUUUUACAAACCUGUGUUGUGUUUACAAUUGUUUGAUAUCCAUGAGAGCAGAGUGAAUUUUUUGAGCAAAAUAUCUAAAGGUUAAACAAUAGAGACAAUUUUUCACAGCUUUCUUUGCUCAUAUUUACCAAGGGUGCCAAUAUUAUUGGAGGGCACUGUAGGUGAAAAUUAGCAAGCCCACUGCACAAAAUUUAUUAUAAGAAUUCUGCCUGUACACUGUGGAUUUCAAACAAGAAAAACUACAGACAUAAACUCUGACUUUCAUCCUAACCUUUCCAUUUGUAGGUUUUCAUACGCUUUGGCUCAUGCAAAUCCUUAAAAAUUUGCAAUCAUGACGUAAAGUUGGAAAGAAAAAUAGAACAUUAUGUUUCAGUGCUCAAUGUGUACAUAGACAUGUUGUAGGAAAGCUGAAAAAAAUCAUAGCUGAUAUACUUACUGUAUGUGUUAUGUCAGGCUGUAAUAUUAACUGUUAUAUUCAUUGUCCUCAUUUUCAGAAAAAAAUGUAUUGCACUUUCAGAACAAAAGGCAUUCUCCUUUGAAGAUACAAAUGUUUGUAAAUGUUAUGGUAUACCCAAGGGCUUGUCUUUUGUACGUUCAGUGUGUACGUUUGCACAUUUUGUACCCUUGGGAACAUACAUUUACUUGUAUACUUGCAGAGUGGUACACUUUAGCUUCAUGUAAUUUGCAUCAUUUUGAGAGUUUCCCAAACAAGAAAAUGAAUCAUAUUACAUAAAUUCUCAAAUAUGAUUUGCAAGCUUCCAGUGCAAUCUACUAGAUAAUAGUAGCUAAGAGUGACUACGUUUCCAUGCACAUCAAAUUCCAUUUAAGGUCUAUAUUCGGGUUGCAGCCAUAUUCCAAAUACCUUGUUUAUAUGAGUACAGGCAUCGGAAUAUUCCUGUAUACAUGGUUGCUGUAAGUAUGUCUGAGUUGCCAUUCCUAAAUACCUAGCCUACAGCUAAGCAUCUGUUAGCACCCACAAUUCCUUGCAAACUGAUAUAUAUACAUAUACAUAUAUCUCCUUUUGGUGGAUUUUCUGAAUAAGGUGUUUACAUGAAACAAAUUUCCAAUUACAACAGGCAUAAUCCAGGGGUGGGAAUCAGAAUUUGGGGAAUCAGAAUAUUGUCUUAAACUGAAUCGGGCAAUCGGAUCGCAGCAUUAACAUGACUCAAUAUUGUUGCUGAAUUCGAUUAAAAUCAUCGGUAUAUUAAUGUGCAUGUAAAUGUAGUUAUUGUAUACUUAUCAUCUAGCACUCAACCUCAAUAUAAAAUAUUGAAUAUUAAAAAAUAAAAAUGUCCAGUUUGCCUUAAAAUUGGAUUUGGCAAAUUCUGUUCAUACCAAGUGUAUCAGAGCAUGUAAGCAAAACCAAUAUCAUUUAUAAAUAUAAAUAAAUAAAUAUAUUCAGUGUUUUUCAAAAUUGAGUCUUAAGACAAAAUCACAUGAGGAGGCCACUAACACUUAGAAACAGUUCCUUUUAACGGAUGUCAUGAAACAACAUUUUACAUUAAAAUAUGUGUAACGUAAAAAUAUUUUACAUGAAAAUAAUGCCAAUUAAUAUUUUCAUUUUCAGCGUUUUUCCCCCUAAACCUUAAUCAUUAACCUAAUAAUAAUAAAGCUACUGUACCGAACACUAGUGCACAAGGCUAAAAUAACAAAAAUGAUACAUUAAACCUUACUCAAGUAUAGCUAUCUGUGUUGAAACAGACCAAGUCUGUUGAAUGUUGAUUCCUUCUUUUUUUAAAUACAGCUAAUGAUAAGAAUGAUCUGCAAGGAAUAGAUGAAUGUUGAAACUCCACCUCCUUUGCCAACAUGUAAACAGAAAUACACAAAUUUAUCAUUUUUUCCCUUAUCUUUGCAAACACAGUCCACAAUCCUGCCUGAAUGUUUUCAUAUCUGUCUACCACUGCUCUAAAGCCAUAUCACUGCAGAACUGGAUAUGGGCUAUCAUGAAGUUACUGAGAAUUUCAAGCUAAGUUUAAACAGAAUUUUCUGUUUCUAUCCUUUCUCAAAUAAAGUCCUAGGCACUGCAUGAAAGGUUGAUCUGGGAUAUGACUUGAAUGCUAUAGCCAUUGGACUGCAGAAUUUUGUGUAAUUAUGCAUGUUACUUCUAAUCGAACAUGCCCAAACACCAUGAAAAUUUCAAGUUAAAGUGGAAUUUAUAAUGUGGUGGGACUUUCAAUUACACCACAUUUACUUAGUACCUUUCUAGUUUGUGAUUUUGGCCUGUUCUAUCAAAAUUGUUUUGUUCAAACAAAAUGUAUGUACAAAUAUUUUACUUGCUGGCUGUGUAUUUGAUACCUCUCACACACAAUUUAAUUACAAACUAUUUUAAUGAAUUAGUGUAUAGAAGUUCAAAACAGCUAUGAAAAUACCAUUGAAAAUACAUAGUGUCAGCUUUCCAUUAUGUUUAGGAAUGCAUCUCAUUUAGACAGAGGAAGAUGAAUGAUCAAUGAGUUGACCUGUGUUAACAUUAACAGAGCAUUCACCUACAUAGUUUACAUUUUGGCUCUUCACGCACAAGCUAGCAUUAAGCAAAACAAGUGGGACAUAUCAAUUAGGAUAACGUGAAAAUUAAAUAUUGCAACAGAAUACUGUUUGUGUUCGGUGGGUUUCAAAUAAUUCACUUAGCUAGCAGUUUUUGCACAUCAAAUUGGUUACACUAUGGACUAGCUAGCUAGCUAACCUAAUCACCAAGCCAACAAGCUAGCUACAUUUACAUGUAAUCUGAUUAAGGUAAGAACUUAAGGUUUGAAAUAUACAGUGGCUAUACACUGUCUACAUCCCCUGUUAAAAUUGCAGGGUUUUGUGUAAUUGAAACCAAGAUAAAUCAUGUCAGAUCAUUUUCAAAUAGAAUUUUUUUUUGUGGAGGCGGGGGGGAUGACGACUAAAACUUACAAUCUUGGAUAGAGCCCCAGUCUCAGGUGAAGAGAAGUUGCCCUAUAGCAUGAUGCCACCAUCAUCAUGCUUCAUCUUGGGUAUGGUAUUUGGGAAAUAAGAUGGCUUGUUUUUGUGAUUGAUUCUUUCUGAUCACAGUCACAUGCGUCUCAUUAUAAAAGAGUGUGCACAUUUAUGCACACUCUUAUUGUUUAUUGUAUUUCUUUUUUUCUUUAAAAAAAAAAAAAAAAAACUUCUACAUGUAUUUCACUUGAAUGUUGUUGAUUGCUGCAUUACAGUAAAGGUGGAAGCAGAUCUGGCAUGAUUUAUCUUGGUUUCAUUUUUCUUACAUGAUUGCUAUUGCCAUUACUAUGAUUGGUUGUUACCCAUAUUUUUCCUGUAAAACACAACUGGAUCUUAUUGUUUCUAUGAUGCAGAAACAAUACAGUGAAUACAUUUGGCAAUAAAAAUGGUUCCCUUCCAAACCAUUACAACUUUUCCAGCAUAUGAUUAUCCCAAAAAAAUCUGUAUGAUCAUCUUAUAUGUCAUGGAGUCGAUUCGUUUUGUCAUCAUCAAUAAACAUAAUGAUUGAAAUGUUUGUACAGCAUAUAAUCGUGACUUUAGAGAACAGGAUGUGUGAAUUACAGUAUGUAUAUUACACAUGCAUAUUAACUGAUAAAUUGGUUUAAAUUAGGUUUGCCCUGACUGUAAGCAGCCACUUUUAAUGUUUUCACAGCAUUUAGACUCUGAAUCAAAAGUGGCCAUUAAUGCAACCAACCCAACUAAUGCUAGAGAAUGGUGUUUUAAUAUUGGCCUGAGAGCAGCCAAACUGCAAGCUGUGUUCCACAUCCUUCCUGAGAUAUGGUUUAGUUGUAGCUGUGCUUUGACAGUCAGAUUCAGAUUAGUGCCAUUUCCACAACUCUAUGUAAGCCAGAUGACAGUGGUACAUGCUAUAAUUUAAGCUGUAUACAAAGCAACAUGAGGUGAACUUCCAUCAUUGUGGCACAAUUUUCCAAAUGCUAAUUCUAAUAUUUAUCAUGACCCACAAUGAAGCAUGAAAUCUUACAGAGAAAAACAAAGCUAAGCUCCCCUAUACUAUAAUAUGAUUUAAAUCAAAUAUCAGUUUCAGUUCAUUCAUGGCAAUUAACUAUGGAUAAAUUGUAUACACAUUUGAUCAUUUACAGCAAAUUAUAUUAAUGUUGCUAGGUUAAAGGUCAUAAUGUAUCAUGUACUCUCACUGAGCACUUUAUUAAUAACACUAUAUUAAUACUGGGUAGGGCUUCCUAAUACUGCUCUCAAACAGCCUCAAUUUUUUGUGGUAUGGAUUGUACAAAAUUUCACAUUUCUUUAAGAUUGUGGUCCAUGUUGACAUGAUUGCAUUGUGCAAUUCCUGCAGAUUUUUCAGGUGCACCAUCAUGCUGCAAAUCUCCCAUCCUACCACAUCCCAAAGGUAUUGGAUUUGUGACCAGUGAAUGGGUCACGGGGAGCCUGGAGCCUAUCCCAGGGAACUCCCUGACACGGAACAUCCUGGACAGUGUGCCAACCCAUCGCAGGGCACAAUUGCACACACAUUCCAACACUCAUUCGCACAUUACGGACAAUUUGGAAAUGCCAGUCAGCCUGCAGCACAUGUCUUUGGACUGGGGAGGAAACUGGAGUACACGGUGGAAACCCCAAAGCACGGGGAGAACAAGCAAACUACACACACAUAGGGCUUGAGAUUCAAAUCCCGAAGCCAGGAGGUGUGAGGCAAAUGUAAUUUAAAUUUCUUAAGGUUUCAAGUUUCAUCAACCAAAAGGGCAACAACAUAAUUUCAGUAUACUUAUUUAUUAUUGUUAAAAGUGAAGUCUAACCUUUUGAGAAAUUGUCUGGUGGGUCAUAUUUUUUAAUCGUUCAUGAGAGGCAUUUAAAAUGUACAUCUUUAUGCCAUUUUGAAAAUCAAGGUGAAUUUCAUUAGCAUUUUAACAUUAUCUUUGGGAAAAUAGCCACCUUUUUUAUAUUGCAACAUCACAUUGCCACAUUGAAAUCCACUCUGGAUUUAUGCCAAUAGGUACUUACACUGCACAAUAUCCUGAUGCGCAACUUCUUGGGGUUUGUGCACUGUGAUUCACUCUCUGUUGUUGUGGUUGAUCCCACGUAGACAGUCUAAAGAGAUGCACUUCCCAAAAACUGUUUAUGUCCAAAACUCAUGGUUACUUCAGCUAAUAAUUAACAUGGAUAUUGUAGAUUACUGUAGAUUGUAGAUUACUGUAGACUGUCCUGUACUCAUUCCAUGACACCUAUUCACAAUCUGUUCAUACUGAACAUCCUCUCAACACACUUAGAAAUGUAUGUGUUUCCUCUUCUACACCUGUAUACUGUAAUUAUUUAUGAUCCUACUAUGCUGUGUCAACAAGAAGAUAAUGGUUUCCCUUUUGAGCCCUUUUUCCUCUUCAUCUUUGAAUUGAGUUGUUCCUCACCACAAUCUCCCAUAGCUUGUUCAUUAGGGAUCUACAUCCGUAUUCCUGUAAAGCUGCUUCAGUAACAAUGUUUGUUAAAAGCGCUACAGAAAAUAUUUUAAAUAGAAUUAAACUGAUUCUCAUUCUCAGCACAGUGGUGGCAUGUGUGUGGUAUAUCAGGUGCAGAAGUGCAUCAUUUACAUAAUAAUGUAACUUGUUAAAUUCUGAGGAUUUCCACACUAGAAAACCUCUACAGCACGACCCUUCAUUACAUAGUGUUGGUAUUUCUGUCCAGCCCAAAUAAGCCUACAACGGUGACUUUUGCGAAUAAUCAUCCCAAGUGCUGCUUUCAGUCACGAAAUACAUCUACACCAAGAGUCUCAAGAGACCUGAAGAUGAACCCAAUGUACACAAACAUAUGCUAAGUAGGAAGAGGGAAAGCAGCUAGUGACGCUUAAGACUGACCCAGGUCUAAACAGUCUCCGCAGGUAUUUCCCAGUUUGGUGGUUAUCUAAAUUAAAUCAAGCUAAAUGAAGGUGAAGCGUAUAGAAAAACUAGAAAGAUGAGUUCAAACACAAACCAAAAUGUCAUAUUUCUAUGCACAUUCAUACUAUAACUACAGUAGACCUGCUAAUCAUGGCAGCACUCCCAGCACUAUUUGACUGUUAAAUGAUUUAAUGCAAGCCAAGCGAUGACUUGUUUGCCUGUCCCUGGCCUUUUUUCCCUGGCACAGGCCUAUCUAAGCUUAUCUGUUUAAUCCCUUAUUACCAUGGCUCAGCUCUUGGCAUGUGAGCUUUAAGAAUCGCACUAACAUGGGCUGCCAAGAGUCCGAAAUAAGCUGAAAUAAACAAGCAAACAGGCUGCCAUUGAAAACAAGAUGGGAAUCAUGAAUCGCAGCAGAGAGACCACCUGCUGUGUUGUGUACAAAUGAUUGGAAAUUUAUACACUAUGCAAGAACAUCUUAACAGUCAAGAUCAGUUUGCUUGAUAUAUCUGUGGAGCCAAAUGUUUCAUUGAAAUGACAUUAAAAACACAUACCAAUGCUUAAUGUAUAAACUAAUCCAGACUCCCAUAUUACUACAUUUAAUGUUAAAGUUAAACACUAUGAAUCACGCUAUACAUAGUAUCACUUUAUGUUAAGUAAACAGCACUCUUUUCUCCUUCAGUGAAAGAUAAGAUCUACAAUAUGUAGACUGCAUUGAUGUCUGCCGUAAGUUCUAUGUUUUGCUUACAAAUCUUCUUAAGGACUUGCAAGAUAAACCCUUGACUUGUGACUCAGAAGAUCACAUUACUCUAGUUUGUGUGUCCGCUGAGUGCUUGAAGAGGAAACGCAAUCCUUGUUAAAGUACACUGAUAUGCUAUUUCCUCUUUCUGCUAGUUAAAAAGUCUUUAAGAUAACAUUAAAUCCUUUUUCAUAAAUAACCUCUCUGUACAAUUACUGCAAUUGUUACCUGAAUAUUUUGGUCACACUAUAGCAAAUGUACACCUUGAUACGCAAGUUUCGUCAGUGACAUAAAGCAACUGUAAAGAGCACACAGUUGCUAUAGUCAUUUCAGCAUCUAAUUUACUCUCCAAGACCUUAACAUCCCUAUAUUAAUAAACGCAUUUGUUUUUUACCAACUGGAUUAUGUAUGUACACAUUGUUCUUGCUGCACCUUCUUUUUGUAUGUAGAUAAAUAGGUAGAUAGAUAGAGUACUUUAUUGAUUCUUAAGGGAAAUUUUAUAUAGCUGUUUAAAGUUGCCUCUGCACAAAAGUUGAUUUACUACAGGUUUGCUCAUGUAAACCCCAGAACUCCCUCCAAAACCAUGACAAAUGAUUAAUAACAGGGUCGUUU
ensembl:lncRNA